CGAUAAUUUAACAUUUGUUAUCAACAACUGAUUUUUCUAUAGCUAGCUGAUCAUUUUUCCACGGAGAUGAGAGACUUCGUUAACAUGGCGUUGUGGCCGCUUCCAGUCCGGCAGGACAGACGAUUCGACAAUUCUCGUCCAAUUACGGAAGCGCUGCUCAGCAUCCUGGAACUUCUGGUCCAGGAUGGACACCAUCUUCCUCAGCACCUUCAUGAUCAUGUAGUUGUUCAGGACGCUGCACAGGACCUGAGCCCUAGGACCAUGCCCCAGGACUACCUGACAUGAUGACUCCGUGCUGUCCCCAGUCCACCUGGCCGUGCUGCUGCUCCAGUUUCAACUGUUCUGCCUUAUUAUUAUUCGACCAUGCUGGUCAUUUAUGAACAUUUGAACAUCUUGGCCAUGUUCUGUUAUAAUCUCCACCCGGCACAGCCAGAAGAGGACUAGCCAACCCACAUAGCCUGGUUCCUCUCUUGGUUUCUUCCUAGGUUUUGGCCUUUUCUAGGGAGUUUUUUCUAGCCACCGUGCUUCUACACCUCCAUUGCUUGCUGUUUGGGGUUUUAGGCUGGGUUUCUGUACAGCACUUUGAGAUAUCAGCUGAUGUACGAAGGGCUAUAUAAAUACAUUUGAUUUGAUUUGAUUUGACAUGGACAUUUCCAGCACUAGAUACUGCCCCCCAGGAGUCAAACAAAUGUUAACCCUUUAGUAUAACCUAGGGAGAAGAGCUGUAGCUAGGAAGACAUUCCAAAGAUUCCAACUUUAGGCACUCAAACAGAUACAAACACAGCCAUGUAAAAAUGUGUUCAAGGUGAUUAGACACAGUAGUCACAGCUAGCCUACAACACAAACCAGUCCAAAAUAUCACAUAGGCCCAACACAAGGUCUAAUGUUUUACUACCCCGGGCUGCUUGAAGGACAUAGAUAAAGACAGACUGCACGGCUGAACACUGCAGCUCAUGACCUGUGACGUCAAACAGGCCCUGGUGUUAAAUGUCUUCCCCUGCAUGCUUCCUGUGGAGAAAACACCCUGAUACUGUGAGGUGGCGGGUAAAAACAGCUGUAUCCAGGCCAAUAUAAGCAUAAGACUAACACAAGAUAAACAUACAAAAACUAAAGGCUUACCCUUCUUAGCCUGGAGCAUUAAUUUAUUAAGACUCUGAGAGGUUCUGCAAAUUCUGACACCCAGGUGGAUCCUCUCAUACACUGUUCUCUCUCUAUAGGCAUACACAACGUCCAUUAUCAUCAUAUAAAUACCACAUUAAUUACUCCAAUGACAUGUUUUAUAUCCAAGUAAUUCAUAAAAAACUAUGAUGAAACUAUUAGGACAGUUUGUUAAUGCAAGUGUUAAUAAAGCAAUGUUUGUAGAGUUACUUAUACCUUUAUACUACUUCAACCCCACCCAUCCCAUCCAUAAACCAGCACCAAACACUUAAUAAUGUCAUUCGCACAUCCUUGUCAAAGGACACUAUGAACUUGGUGUCCCUCCUGAGGUGCUGACUUGCUGCACCCUCGACAACUACUGUGAUUAUUAUUUGACCAUACUGGUCAUUUAUGAACAUUUGAACAUCUUGGCUAUGUUCUGUUAUAAUCUCCACCCGGCACAGCCAGAAGAGGACUGGCCAUCCCUCAUAGCCUGGUUCCUCUCUAGGUUUCUUCCUAGGUUUUGGCCUUUCUAGGGAGUUUUUCCUAGCCACCAUGCUUCUACACCUGCAUUGCUUGCUGUUUGGGGUUUUAGGCUGGGUUUCUGUACAGCACUUUGAGAUAUCAGCUGAUGAAAGAAGGGCUAUAUAAAUACAUUUGAUUUGAUUUGAUCCAUGAUCUUCAUUACGUAACCCUUAUACAGUCAUGUUACAAUGCUGCAGUUGAUCAUUCUGUAUCUGAUAUGAUGUCUGUCAGUGACAUUACCAGAAACACAAAAAAACGUCCCUAAAAAAAAACAGUAAAGACUACUGCACAAUGAAUGGGAGGCACCUUGUAGGCUAACGUCCAGGUGUAACAUGAGAAUACCUUUGGAGAAUAUGUUAUCUGCAUGAUGUGGGAUUUACAGCUCAGGUAGGCCUAGAUAACAUUAGAUUACCUGUGUCUGCUGCUGCAUGUGGCCUAAUAUUGACUUCCAAGAAACUCUCAAGCUCACCUCUGGGCCCUAGGUAGGCUAAUGAAUAACCACUAAUCAAACAAGGAUGACAACAACAAGUGACAACCCAAUUAUGGAUUCAAAUGUUUAUUUUUCCUUUUUCAAUGAAAAAGUGUGUUCAAUAGUGUUUUCAAACCAUCUUUGCUGUAGUAGUAGGCUAUACAGUAUCUGCCAACAUGAUCAUAAGGCAAACACUUUUAUUUAAGUCAGUGAGUAGGCUUGACUAAAAUUCAGGGAUGACUUGUUUUGGUAAUGCAGAAACCAGUUCCCGCUGGGAGUUAUGCAAAACACACUAGGGUGACCACAUGUCCCUGACGGUGGCCUUUUCUUCCGCAACCAAAGUAUCAUGUCCUGCAUUUUAUCAACAAAUUCAAACACCACUAAUUUGGAAAGAAAAAAGGUUGGUUCCUCCUGUAUUUCAUUCACACAUUCCAACCUGUCUUUUGCAGUCAUGUUGCGUUUAUGAAAAGAUGUAGGCCUAUAUCAUCAGGAUGUGGCACUGAUGUUAAACACUUCUCCAAUCGUUGUUGAGAUCUGAUAUUCUGAGCAAGACAAGCAUAGCAAUGUCAUAGGCCUAUCGUCAACCAAUCACAUUUCCCAAAUCCUUUCGGGAAAAUACCAGCUAAACUUUGAGAGGACAGUUAGGCCUAGCUACUUACAAAGCUGGUUUGUGACGAAGAGCUACAAAAGUCAGUAAAUAGCCAUAUUAGACUGAAAGGCUUGGGAGGUUCUCCAUGCUCAUUACUUGCUCAUUCAACAUAUUUGCUGUUACUUUACUCAAUCCUGUUUUAAAAGUCUCAAUCCCUGGGAUCAACUAGAACUGUUUCCUUGGCCACAUAUUCCUAGAUCUUCAUAAAACAGCUGCACAUGUGGUCUCUCGUUUCUGCAUCACAAACUUUUGCGCGAGGGAAGAGUAGGCUAGGUGCAAUACAAUGAUACUGAACAAAAAUAUAAACGCAACAUGCAACAUUUUCAAGGAUUUUACUGGGUUACAGUUUAUAUAAGGAAAUCAGUCAAUUGAAAUAAAUAAAUUAGGCCCUAAUCUAUGAAUUUCACAUAACUGGGCAGGGGUGAAGCCAUGAGGGGGCUUGGAGGGCAUAGGCCCACCCACUGGGGAGCCAGGACCAGCCAAUCAGAAUGAGUUUUUCCCCACAUAAAUACUCCUCUGCACUACCCCCAUCAGAAUAACCCGCAGGUGAAGAAGCUGGAUGUGGAGGUCCUGGAAUGGCGUGGUUACACGUGGUCUGCUGUUAUGAGGCCGGUUGGCAACUGCUCUGGUGGACAUUCCUGCAGGCAGAAUGCCAAUUGCAUGCACCCUCAAAACUUGAGACAUCUUUGGCAUUGCUUACAAAACUGCACAUUUUAAAGUGACCUUUUAUUGUCCCCAGCACACGGUGCACCUGUGUAAUGAUCAUGCUGUUUAAUCAACUUCUUGACAAGCCAAACCUAUCAGGUGAAUGGAUUAUCUAGGCAAAGGAGAAAUGCUGUCACGUCCUGACCUUAGUUCCUUCUGUAUGUCUCUGUUUUAGGUUGGUCAGGGCGUGAGUUGGGGUGGGCAUUCUAUGUUUUAUUCUAUGUUGUAUGUCUAGGUGUUGUGCUUCUAUGUUUAGGCCUGGUAUGGUUCCCAAUCAGAGGCAGCUGGUUAUCGUUGUCUCUGAUUGAGAACAAUACUUAGGCAGCCUGUUUUCCCACUAUAGGUGUGGGUAGUUAUUUUCUGUUUAAUGUGUUGUUUCACCUGACAGGAGUGUUUCGGUUUCGUUCGUUCACGUUGUUGUUUUUGUAUUUUUCAGUGUUCUAUUAAAAUAAUUAUGAACACGUACCACGCUG